rnacentral:rRNA from 1 species
UACGUAGGGGGCAAGCGUUGUCCGGAAUCAUUGGGCGUAAAGCGCGCGUAGGCGGCCAGAUAAGUCCGGUGUGAAAGUCACAGGCUCAACCUGUGAAUGCCGCUGGAAACUGUCUGGCUAGAGUCCGGAAGGGGCGAGUGGAAUUCCUGGUGUAGCGGUGAAAUGCGCAGAUAUCAGGAGGAACACCAAUGGCGAAGGCAGCUCGCUGGGACGGUACUGACGCUGAGGCGCGAAAGCGUGGGGAGCGAACAGG